rnacentral:rRNA from 1 species
UACUUGAAGAGAUGUGUCGGGUUCUAUAUACACAUAUUAGUUUCAUCUUCGAACGCAUAUAUAUCCGUUACUUGAAGAAAAAAUAUUCGUUUUUAAAACACGGGGCGCUGCAUAUCCAAUAAGCGGAGAAAAAGUGUCCGUCUUGAAACACGGACACUGCAUAUCCAAUAGCGGAGGAAAAGAAACAACAGGGAUUGCCCUAGUAACGGCGAGUGAAGCGGCAAUAGCUCAAAUUUGAAAUCUGGCUUUGGCCCGAGUUGUAAGUUGCAGAGGAAGUUUCUGGCAAGGCGCCUUCUGAGUCCACUGGAACGUGGCGCCCUAGAGGGUGAGAGCCCCGUAUAGUUGGAUGCCAAGCCUGUGUGAAGCUCCUUCGACGAGUCGAGUAGUUUGGGAAUGCUGCUCUAAAUGGGAGGUAAAUUCCUUCUAAAGCUAAAUAUGGGCCCGAGACCGAUAGCGCACAAGUAGAGUGAUCGAAAGAUGAAAAGUACUUUGAAAAAGAGAGUCAAAUAGCACGUGAAAUUGUUGAAAGAGAAGGAUUUGUGACCAGACUUGUGCUGCGCGGAUCUCCCGGUGUUCUCACCGGUGUACUCCGCGCGGUUCAGGCCAGCAUCGGUUUCCGAUGGGGGACAAAAGCAGUGGGAACGUAGCUCCCACGGGAGCGUUAUAUGCCCGCCGCAUGAAUACCCCAUUGGGGACUCGAGGCCCGCGUUUUCACGGAUGCUGCCAUAAUGGUGACUAAUCACCCGUCUUGACCCCCGGAACCACUUUUCCUCGAUUAUUGGUGUCCAUCCCCCGUCUUGAAACACGGAACACUUGUGCUUGAAUAACCGUCUUUGUAUCCUUCGAUCUAAGAAGGAGGUACCAUUGGUGAGAU